rnacentral:rRNA from 1 species
UACGGGGGGAGCAAGCGUUGUUCGGAUUUACUGGGCGUAAAGGGCGCGUAGGCGGCCACCGCAAGUCAAUUGUGAAAUCUCCGGGCUUAACUCGGAAAGGUCAACUGAUACUGCGGGGCUAGAGUGCGGAAGGGGCAACUGGAAUUCUCGGUGUAGCGGUGAAAUGCGUAGAUAUCUGGAGGAACAUCGGUGGCGAAGGCGGCAUCCUGGACCGGUAUUGACGCUGAGGCGCGAAAGCCAGGGGAGCAAACGGG